GGUAGAGAGGGGGGCUGCGUUUUGGGCGGGAGAUAACUUAAACGCGAAAAUGCUGGGCGGGAGAACAGUCCCUCCCUCCCUACAGGAUCAUCUCGAUUCCCUUUCCUUCUCUUAACCCUAACCCUCCCUUCACCUUCAUCCUGAUUUCGUUGACCAAAUCUGAACCUAAUCCACGUGCGACAGAGUCCCUCCCUCCCUCCCUCCCUUCAUCUCGAAGUUCAUGACCAAAUCUAAAGCCUGCAGAGCAACAAAGCUAACGUAUCCUGCACUCUCGUUACUUGGCUAACACAAGUUCGAUUUUCAGCAUCUAAUUCUGAAGGCUCUGCUUGAAGUUUCACGGAGAUUAUCAUAUUGCAACUAUUUCAAAUGGGUAGAUAGUAAUGAAGACAAAGAGAACAAACUUUUAAAGAGAGAAAAUGAAUUGUUGAGGACGGAGGAAGAGCUCCACAAAAGAGGAUGAGAUCUUCUCGAUGGUGCUUCACUAGAGAAAUGAUGAGAUUGAGAAAAGGGAGUUGGCUAUUCACUAUGAUCAAGUUGAUCUUCUGAUGAAACAAGCAGAAGUGCGGCGUUCACGCACAUUACUUCAUGUGUAAUCGAGAUUUGCCAUAGUUAUUUCAUGUUAUUUAAUAGGAUCUAAGUGAAUUCCCAUUGUUUCUACCAACCGGACAGGUUAUGUAAUAGAUGGGUUAGAUUAUCUAAAGAAACUGUUAGGUUAUGUAAGUUGUGUUGUAUGCUGGUGGAAAUUUAUUGGAAAUCUGUUGGACAUAUAAGUACAAUGAUCAUGACCGAUUGGUAUAUUAUCCUUAUCUCUUUAGCAAAUUAUUGGCACCGAUUAAGAACAUUUGUUGUAUGCUAAUGGAACUCUGCUUUUUGUACUAGAUAAUCCAAGUAAUGAUAUUUGCUACAGAAACAUUGUUGGGACUGAGGUGGCUUCUAACUUAGUAAAUGAAGAAGUGAUAAUCGAAUGAGAUUGAACGUCUCUAAUAUAUAGCUUGGAUUGGAUGGAUGCAGGAUGAGCACUUGUUUGUGCUUUUUGUCAAAGUACUCUGUUUGGUAGUCCAGGCUGUAGGAGCUACUGAUUCCAGUUUAUGGAAUGGCAGUGCUCUAGUUCUCUGACCAUAAUCGUUUUGAUCAACAGAGACAUAUUCUCCAA